CCUACGGGCGGCAGCAGUGGGGAAUAUUGCACAAUGGGCGCAAGCCUGAUGCAGCCAUGCCGCGUGUGUGAAGGAGGCCUUCGGGUUGUAAAGCACUUUCAGCGGGGAGGAAGGCGUUAAGGUUAAUAACCUUGGCGAUUGACGUUACCCGCAGAAGAAGCACCGGCUAACUCCGUGCCAGCAGCCGCGGUAAUACGGAGGGUGCAAGCGUUAAUCGGAAUUACUGGGCGUAAAGCGCACGCAGGCGGUCUGUCAAGUCGGAUGUGAAAUCCCCGGGCUCAACCUGGGAACUGCAUUCGAAACUGGCAGGCUAGAGUCUUGUAGAGGGGGGUAGAAUUCCAGGUGUAGCGGUGAAAUGCGUAGAGAUCUGGAGGAAUACCGGUGGCGAAGGCGGCCCCCUGGACAAAGACUGACGCUCAGGUGCGAAAGCGUGGGGAGCAAACAGGAUUAGAUACCCGGGUAGUC
rnacentral:rRNA from 1 species